UACGGAGGGCGCAAGCGUUGUUCGGGAUCACUGGGCGUAAAGCGAGCGUAGGCGGCUUUGCAAGGCGGGUGUGAAAUCCCGAGGCUCAACCUCGGAACUGCACUCGAUACUGCUUGGCUCGAGUCCCGGAGAGGGUGGCGGAAUUCCCGGUGUAGGGGUGAAAUCCGUAGAUAUCGGGAGGAACACCAGUGGCGAAGGCGGCCACCUGGACGGUGACUGACGCUGAGACGCGAAAGCGCGGGGAGCAAACAGG
rnacentral:rRNA from 1 species